rnacentral:misc_RNA from 1 species
AACGUAGGACGCAAGCGUUAUCCGGAGUUACUGGGCGUAAAGGGCGUGUAGGCGGCGCUUCAAGUUCGUCGUGAAAGACCCCGGCUCAACCGGGGGAGGUCGAGGGAGACUGAGGCGCUGGAGGACGGUAGAGAGACAGGGAAUUCCGGGUGUAGUGGUGAAAUGCGUAGAUACCAUCAAGAACACCGAUUGCGUAGGCAGCUUACUAGGCUGUAACUGACGCUGAGGCACGAAAGCGUGGGGAGCGAACAGG